rnacentral:rRNA from 1 species
UGCUGGAGGUAUCAGAAGUGCGAAUGCUGACAUAAGUAACGAUAAAGCGGGUGAAAAGCCCGCUCGCCGGAAGACCAAGGGUUCCUGUCCAACGUUAAUCGGGGCAGGGUGAGUCGACCCCUAAGGCGAGGCCGAAAGGCGUAGUCGAUGGGAAACGGGUUAAUAUUCCCGUACUUGGUGUUACUGCGAAGGGGGGACGGAGAAGGCUAUGUUGGCCGGGCGACGGUUGUCCCGGUUUAAGCGUGUAGGUGUGUGUUCCAGGUAAAUCCGGUUCACUUUAACACUGAGGCGUGACGACGAGGCACUACGGUGCUGAAGCAACAAAUGCCCUGCUUCCAGGAAAAGCCUCUAAGCAUCAGGUAACACGAAAUCGUACCCCAAACCGACACAGGUGGUCAGGUAGAGAAUACCAAGGCGCUUGAGAGAACUCGGGUGAAGGAACUAGGCAAAAUGGUGCCGUAACUUCGGGAGAAGGCACGCUGACACGUAGGUGAAGUGAUUUACUCAUGGAGCUGAAGUCAGUCGAAGAUACCAGCUGGCUGCAACUGUUUAUUAAAAACACAGCACUGUGCAAACACGAAAGUGGACGUAUACGGUGUGACGCCUGCCCGGUGCCGGAAGGUUAAUUGAUGGGGUCAGCGCAAGCGAAGCUCCUGAUCGAAGCCCCGGUAAACGGCGGCCGUAACUAUAACGGUCCUAAGGUAGCGAAAUUCCUUGUCGGGUAAGUUCCGACCUGCACGAAUGGCGUAAUGAUGGCCAGGCUGUCUCCACCCGAGACUCAGUGAAAUUGAACUCGCUGUGAAGAUGCAGUGUACCCGCGGCAAGACGGAAAGACCCCGUGAACCUUUACUAUAGCUUGACACUGAACAUUGAGCCUUGAUGUGUAGGAUAGGUGGGAGGCUUUGAAGUGUGGACGCCAGUCUGCAUGGAGCCGACCUUGAAAUACCACCCUUUAAUGUUUGAUGUUCUAACGUGGACCCGUAAUCCGGGUUGCGGACAGUGUCUGGUGGGUAGUUUGACUGGGGCGGUCUCCUCCUAAAGAGUAACGGAGGAGCACGAAGGUUGGCUAAUCCUGGUCGGACAUCAGGAGGUUAGUGCAAUGGCAUAAGCCAGCUUGACUGCGAGCGUGACGGCGCGAGCAGGUGCGAAAGCAGGUCAUAGUGAUCCGGUGGUUCUGAAUGGAAGGGCCAUCGCUCAACGGAUAAAAGGUACUCCGGGGAUAACAGGCUGAUACCGCCCAAGAGUUCAUAUCGACGGCGGUGUUUGGCACCUCGAUGUCGGCUCAUCACAUCCUGGGGCUGAAGUAGGUCCCAAGGGUAUGGCUGUUCGCCAUUUAAAGUGGUACGCGAGCUGGGUUUAGAACGUCGUGAGACAGUUCGGUCCCUAUCUGCCGUGGGCG